rnacentral:rRNA from 1 species
CGGACGGGUGAGUAACGCGUGGAAAACCUGCCGUAUACUGGGGGAUAACACUUAGAAAUAGGUGCUAAUACCGCAUAAGCGCACAGCUUCGCAUGAAGCGGUGUGAAAAACUCUGGUGGUAUACGAUGGUUCCGCGUCUGAUUAGCUAGUUGGUGGGGUAAUGGCCUACCAAGGCAACGAUCAGUAGCCGGCCUGAGAGGGUGAACGGCCACAUUGGGACUGAGACACGGCCCAAACUCCUACGGGAGGCAGCA